GCCCCGCGCGCAUCGCCUUAUACCUCCCUGUUGGACUUGGCCGGGCCUCGCGCCCGGUCUUUUUU
rnacentral:ncRNA from 1 species